AUUGAACGCUGGCGGAAUGCUUUACACAUGUAAGUCGAACGGUAGAGGGGCAACCCUUGAGAGUGGCGAACGGGUGAGUAAUGUAUCGGAACAUGCCCAGUCGUGGGGGAUAACGUAGCGAAAGUUACGCUAAUACCGCAUACGAUCUAUGGAUGAAAGCGGGGGAUCGCAAGACCUCGCGCGAUUGGAGUGGCCGAUAUCAGAUUAGGUAGUUGGUGGGGUAAAGGCCUACCAAGCCGACGAUCUGUAGCUGGUCUGAGAGGACGACCAGCCACACUGGGACUGAGACACGGCCCAGACUCCUACGGGAGGCAGCAGUGGGGAAUUUUGGACAAUGGGCGAAAGCCUGAUCCAGCCAUUCCGCGUGCAGGAAGAAGGCCUUCGGGUUGUAAACUGCUUUUGUACGGAACGAAACGCGCUGUGCUAAUACCACGGCGUAAUGACGGUACCGUAAGAAUAAGCACCGGCUAACUACGUGCCAGCCGCCGCCGUAAGAC
rnacentral:rRNA from 1 species